UUCAAUUCUGUUUUUAAUCAUCUUUUUUGGCACCUUAAGUCCGGCUUAUCCAAUGCCAUGGAAGAAUAAGAACGCUUUUAUACUGAGUACACCCCUUUAAUGAAGAGGGACUAAGGGUUGCAGGGGUGCCGUUUUACAGGGUCUCACCAAAGACGUGAUAAAACUUGAAUCAAACCUAGUCGCAGUCUUCCAUGCUAUAGCAACAAUUAAUCCGCACCGAAUUCAAAACUACCGAGGGUCUCAAAUCAAGAAAGACACGUUUCCCAUGAAACCAUGCACAGGAAAAAGAUAGAUCAAAUGACUGGUGCGUCUCUUCGUAAUGUCCGUCAUCAGCAGCGAUUGGUAUCUCAGUGGGACUCCCUUGACCAACAGCGGGAUAAAGAACUCAAGAACUUCACCAAAAAACGCCUGGAAUGUACCUACGACUUAACUUAUUAUCGAAACAAUAAGCAAGGACUAGAACACCUGUCACCAGAUCUAAAGGGAGAAGGGUUGAAAAAACUGACUGAUGACUCCCGUUCAAAAUGGCAAGCCGAUAAGAAAAAUAGACUCGAUAAAUACUCGUUAAAACAACCAGACCCUGUUGACCGAAUGCCAAUUCCACAAAUAUCAAAUCCAACAGAAAUUCAAGCCGGCUUUGACAAAUUUGUGAAAGAAUCUAAAGAAAUGCCAACAAACGAGUACGAUGCAAACGAUUCAUAUGGCAAAUUUGAAACAAAAGGAGCAGACGAUGAUGAAAACGAUGACUGUUAUCUUCUUCCCCCCGUUAUGGCUUUUCCAAGACGUUGGAGCACCACUGUAGAAACAAUCACAGAACUCCCUUCUCAAAUGCCCCUUCAGAUGUCUCGAAUAAGGCGAAAUUCUGCCAUGGCAGCAACUUUGCAGACAAAGGAUAAGUUUUCGCGCCCGUGUGAUAUUUUGCACAUGCGCAAGCAUCUUCCACCAGUGAAUCUUCCAGGACAAAAACGAGAUUGAAACGCAUUAAACAGACCUUUUAAAGCCUUUCCUUAUCAGUGGAGGCGGUAUAUAUAUCAAUCAAAGAAACUGGCCUCUUUUAGUAGUAAAUUAAAGAAAGUUAAUUUAAUCAACGUUUUCAGACAACUUUAAUAAUAAUUUGCAGUUCUAUUUUGAGAACAUGGGAACGUUAACAAUAACUAUAACCCACACUUAUUUAUUGUAGUUUAUCGGAAUGAGAAAGCAGUGAUCUUAUAGGCUACCGAUGCAAAUUUAUGUAUUUUCUCUGCGAAUCAAUC